UAAAAAAUCAACGCCCUUCGGGGCUCCUUGGUGAAUCAUAAUAACUUAACGAAUCGCAUGGCCUUGCGCCGGCGAUGGUUCAUUCAAAUUUCUGCCCUAUCAACUUUCGAUGGUAGGAUAGUGGCCUACCAUGGUGGCAACGGGUAACGGGGAAUUAGGGUUCGAUUCCGGAGAGGGAGCCUGAGAAACGGCUACCACAUCCAAGGAAGGCAGCAGGCGCGCAAAUUACCCAAUCCCGAUACGGGGAGGUAGUGACAAUAAAUACUGAUACGGGGCUCUUUUGGGUCUCGUAAUUGGAAUGAGAACAAUUUAAAUCCCUUAACGAGGAACAAUUGGAGGGCAAGUCUGGUGCCAGCAGCCGCGGUAAUUCCAGCUCCAAUAGCGUAUAUUAAAGUUGUUGCAGUUAAAAAGCUCGUAGUUGAACCUUGGGUCUGGCUGGCCGGUCCGCCUCACCGCGAGUACUGGUCCGGCUGGACCUUUCCUUCUGGGGAACCUCAUGGCCUUCACUGGCUGUGGGGGGAACCAGGACUUUUACUGUGAAAAAAUUAGAGUGUUCAAAGCAGGCCUUUGCUCGAAUACAUUAGCAUGGAAUAAUAGAAUAGGACGUGUGGUUCUAUUUUGUUGGUUUCUAGGACCGCCGUAAUGAUUAAUAGGGAUAGUCGGGGGCGUCAGUAUUCAGCUGUCAGAGGUGAAAUUCUUGGAUUUACUGA
rnacentral:rRNA from 1 species